rnacentral:rRNA from 1 species
AGUGAACGCUGGCGGUAGGCCUAACACAUGCAAGUCGAACGGCAGCACAGUAAGAGCUUGCUCUUACGGGUGGCGAGUGGCGGACGGGUGAGGAAUACAUCGGAAUCUACUUUUUCGUGGGGGAUAACGUAGGGAAACUUACGCUAAUACCGCAUACGACCUACGGGUGAAAGCAGGGGAUCUUCAGACCUUUCGCGAUUGAAUGAGCCGAUGUCGGAUUAGCUAGUUGGCGGGGUAAAGGCCCACCAAGGCGACGAUCCGUAGCUGGUCUGAGAGGAUGAUCAGCCACACUGGAACUGAGACACGGUCCAGACUCCUACGGGAGGCAGCAGUGGGGAAUAUUGGACAAUGGGCGCAAGCCUGAUCCAGCCAUACCGCGUGGGUGAAGAAGGCCUUCGGGUUGUAAAGCCCUUUUGUUGGGAAAGAAAAGCAGCAGGUUAAUCCCCCGCUGUUCUGACGGUACCCAAAGAAUAAGCACCGGCUAACUUCGUG